GCUUACGGCCAUACCAGCCUGGGUACUUCUGAUCUCGGAAGCUAAGCAGGGUCGGGCCUGGUUAGUACUUGGAUGGGAGACCGCCUGGGAAUACCAGGUGCUGUAAGCA
rnacentral:rRNA from 1 species